GAAGGGGGCUAGCGUUGCUCGGAAUUACUGGGCGUAAAGGGCGCGUAGGCGGCACUGUUAGUCAGGCGUGAAAGUCCUGGGCUCAACCUGGGAACUGCGCUUGAUACGGCAGAGCUAGAGGAUGGAAGAGGCUCGCGGAAUUCCCAGUGUAGAGGUGAAAUUCGUAGAUAUUGGGAAGAACACCGGUGGCGAAGGCGGCGAGCUGGUCCAUUACUGACGCUGAGGCGCGACAGCGUGGGGAGCAAACAGGAUUAGAUACCCUGGUAGUCCACGCCGUAAACGAUGUGCGCUGGAUGUUGGGUGGCCUAGCCACUCAGUGUCGUAGCUAACGCGGUAAGCGCACCGCCUGGGGAGUACGGCCGCAAGGUUG
rnacentral:rRNA from 1 species